UUCCCCCUCUGGCCAAAUCCCGGUCUUCUUUUUAAGAGAAGAAUUGUGCAAAGGAAUUGAAAGGAAUGGAGUUCCUGCUCCUGUAUGAAAACAGAAGCUGGUAAAACUUCUCAUUUGUGGAGUUAUAGCCUAAGGAUUAAACACUCAAAGUACUGGAAGCUUUUGGUGAGAGAUUUUUGGAGAAGCAACUCUGUACUGGCCAACUCGAGGAAGCAGCUUUGAAGUGAUUCCCAUAUGAUAGCUUUUGGAAAACUAGCUGUGAAUGAAAAGCUGAAGAGUCGGGUACGUUCAGGCUGAAACAAGUGGCUGACGAAGUAUUGAAAGAACAGAUUUUCGAUAUAAAAUAUAUUGAAGUAAGGUAUCAAGUGAGCACUUUGCACUUCCCUGAAGUGUACAUUUUUAAGCUUAGGUCAUUGUUAAAGUAAUAGGAUUUAUCAAGAGGAAUUUAUUCAUUAUGAUGGCAGUUCUUUCACUUUCUCUUCUCCCUCCCUAUUUGCGUAGAGUGUUUAUAUAGUAUCAAUAUGUAUUUGAUAGGCUUUGAUGCGUACAGAAUAGAAAAGGAGUGAAGAAAACACUCAUAUUGUCUGGUUUGUAGAGAAGUUCUUAAUGAGAAUAGCCCAAUGCUGGGGAGGAAUGAAUAUGCGGGUCUUGUUGCUUGAAGUAAUCAAAUCAUUUUCUUUACGAUUUACAAGGUGAUUUGUAUGU